rnacentral:rRNA from 1 species
GUCGAGCGGAACGACACUCACAAUCCUUCGGGUGCGUUAAUGGGCGUCCAGUUGCGGACGGGUGAGUAAUGCCUAGGACAUUGCCUUGAUGUGGGGGAUAACCAUUGGAAACGAUGGCCAAUACCGCAUAAUGCCUACGGGCCAAAGAGGGGGAUCUUCGGACCUCUCGCGUCAAGAUAUGCCUAGGUGGGAUUAGCUAGUUGGUGAGGUAAUGGCUCACCAAGGCGACGAUCCCUAGCUGGUCUGAGAGGAUGAUCAGCCACACUGGAACUGAGACACGGUCCAGACUCCUACGGGAGGCAGCAGUGGGGAAUAUUGCACAAUGGGCGAAAGCCUGAUGCAGCCAUGCCGCGUGUAUGAAGAAGGCCUUCGGGUUGUAAAGUACUUUCAGUUGUGAGGAAGGGUGUGUAGUUAAUAGCUGCGCAUCUUGACGUUAGCAACAGAAGAAGCACCGGCUAACUCCGUGCCAGCAGCCGCGGUAAUACGGAGGGUGCGAGCGUUAAUCGGAAUUACUGGGCGUAAAGCGCAUGCAGGUGGUUCAUUAAGUCAGAUGUGAAAGCCCGGGGCUCAACCUCGGAACUGCAUUUGAAACUGGUGAACUAGAGUGCUGUAGAGGGGGGUAGAAUUUCAGGUGUAGCGGUGAAAUGCGUAGAGAUCUGAAGGAAUACCAGUGGCGAAGGCGGCCCCCUGGACAGACACUGACACUCAGAUGCGAAAGCGUGGGGAGCCAACAGGAUUAGAUACCCUGGUAGUCCACGCCGUAAACGAUGUCUACUUGGAGGUUGUGGCCUUGAGCCGUGGCUUUCGGAGCUAACGCGUUAAG